CUUAAUAAGUACCGGCUCAUAUGAAAUUUAGACUUUUACUUAUAAAUAUAGAAACGUCGAGUUCAUAGUAAGAUUAAUAUAGAAACUUGUCAAAUAUCGAGUUCAUACUAAUAGGCAGCUAAAACAACAAGGAACAAUGAGGUUCUACUGCAUAUAUUUUAUGAUUUUCAGUCGUUUCGUUUUUGUGGAUCUACUUUCUAGGACCGACAUAUACAAAACUUUAUUCAACAGAACAGAUAUAUAUUGCUCUUCUUCUUGUAGGAGGAAUGAAUAUCAUCUUGUCAGUUGUUGUAUGUGUAGUAUGUAAAAAACGAGAGAAAAACUAUAUUCAUUAUAAGUUUCGUACAAUGACAUUUUGGAAUAUCCUGAAAUAUUUUGGACGUUCAUUACCAGAUAAAACACUUAUCCAGGUAUAAAACAAAUCUCCCAGUCAACCUAUGUAAUUUUACUGGAAUCGUUCAAAUGGAUUUUUUCGUACAAUCAGAUAAACAGAAUUAACAAUAUUUCUUGCAUCAAAAGUCUAGACACUUGAAAAUGCGUAAUAACAAAAAAGAAUUUUUGAGGAGCGAUGCCUUUAUUGGAAUGAAAGAUUAACGCAAUAUUGACCAUUCAUACAACCGUUUGAAGUACAUAGAACCAGGAUUGUUAUUAAACAUGGCUGCAAGUCUUCUUAAUUUUGAUGUCUAAUAAUUUAUUGACACCGAUAUCACCAAUAUUCUGUGGGAAAAUCAACCAGCGUUCUGCGAAACCGAUUUUUCCUUUAAUAAGAUAACAAGUAUAAGCAAUCAACUUGAUUGGACAUGCAAAAGGAAUACACAAUUUGGAUAUGGAGGAUUUGUUAAUUUGUCUAACAAUAAUUUGUCACAUUUCGUGAAGUUUUGUGAAAUUGGAUUUAGAUAUAUUAUUUUUUUAGGAAAACUGCUAUCCUAUGGAUUUGAUUUACGAGAAAACUGGAUUUAUCGAAAAAUAGAAAUGAAAAAAUACGUAACAAUCUGAUUGCUAAAUUAAGAAACGUAAGUUUUAUUAAUUGGUCAAAAAACAAAAUGACAAAAAAUCCACGUAUUUUGAAAAUUUUAAACCCUUGUCAGAUUUACAUAGGAGAAAUCGUUAUUCAUUGUAAAUGCAAAGACAUUUGGCUUCACAAUUGGCUGCCAUCAAUUCAGAGCAAAUGUUUCAAUAAUCAUGAUAAUACGAGAGUAUAUUGCAAGUAGCAUAAUAAAAAAGUUCAACACGAAGAAACAACACGAACUCUACUAAAAACCGGGAGUGAAAUCAGGUGCUCCGGAAGGGUGAGCAUUUCCUGUACCGUAUACGGCACCCGUCGUGUUAUUUCUUUGUUCAGUUCGGUAAUGAUUGAAGGUAAUUAUGACUGAGGAAGAAUAUUAAUAUGAAAUGUUAAUAAGCUGACAGGGGUGAUUAUCAACGUCAAAUUGAUUUGUCAUAUUUUCUGUUAUAUAAACAAUUAGAUCUUGUACAUGUUUUUCAUCUCUUUUCAUUGCAGCUGGUUUUGCUUAUCGUAAAAUUGUUUAUCAACCUGGACAAGACCCGCACGUGCUCUCAUUGCCGAUGUUAACUGACUUAGCACAUGCCUUGUAAAAUUCCAUCUUAUCAAUGAAGCCUUCUUCCUUGUUAAACCAACAAUGCCACCGUCUCCUUUUGAUUUUUUUUAUCACUGUUUUUUCUGUUGCCAUGUCGCUCCAAACGCCAUUGAACGAUCCAACUUUUUCACGAACAGAGAAGAGACCCAUCGAACAAAGACCUUCUGCCUCAGUUCGCAGGUUUAGCAUAUCUAAAAGGUAGACAGGAGUCCAUCUGGAAUAAUUGUUUUUGUUGGCUACAAAGAAGUAAGGAAGCAUUGGGAAAAUAGAAUGCAAAUGAAGAGACCAAAGGCCAUUUCUUUCAGCUCGGAUAUCAGCAUAAUUUCUAAAGCUUGUAGUAGCAUAUCCCAAUAACGAAAUGUAGGAGAAACAUGACCACCCGGUUCUCGAAGCAUGUCAAAUGUACGGCCAUUACUCAUAAAACUUUAAUGACACUCUGUGAGGAAUACAAAAAUGCUUUCACGAAUUUCUAAACAUUUUUUUGUCUGAUCCAAACAAAAAACGAACAGAUCCAAGGUGUUUUCAAUGUCUCAUAAAGGAGUGUGAGUCUUCUAACUGCAUGGUUGAACAGUUUUCCUGAAAGCAUUUGCUCUACCGUUGCUGCUGCGUACACACCGGAAUCAACUAGCAGGUCGCGGAGACCACCAUCUCCCCAUAUUUUAGCUAUUGAUGAAAUAAAACACGAUAGGGUAUAAAAGCCACCAAGACGUAAAAUGUGUGAAUCAAACUCAGAAGGUCUAUCCCAUUUUACCUGUUGUGUCACUGCGUACAAUUGUAAAUCAAAAGUUUGAAUAGAAAAUGGUUGACCAGCCUUCUGGCACAUAUCAGCAC
rnacentral:lncRNA from 1 species